AUCCAGCUGAACAGUCCUAAAUGGAACGAAACGGGCGUCCUGGAU
rnacentral:hammerhead_ribozyme from 1 species